rnacentral:rRNA from 2 species
GGGUUGUGAGGUUAAGCGACUAAGCGUACACGGUGGAUGCCCUGGCAGUCAGAGGCGAUGAAGGACGUGCUAAUCUGCGAAAAGCGCCGGCGAGGUGAUAUGAACCUUUGACCCGGCGAUGUCCGAAUGGGGAAACCCAGUGUGUUCCGACACACUAUCGUUAACUGAAUACAUAGGUUAACGAGGCGAACCGGGGGAACUGAAACAUCUAAGUACCCCGAGGAAAAGAAAUCAACCGAGAUUCCCCCAGUAGCGGCGAGCGAACGGGGAGCAGCCCAGAGUCUGAAUCAGCUUGUGUGUUAGUGGAAGCGUCUGGAAAGUCGCACGGUACAGGGUGACAGUCCCGUACACGAAAAUGCACAGGUUGUGAACUCGAAGAGUAGGGCGGGACACGUGGUAUCCUGUCUGAAUAUGGGGGGACCAUCCUCCAAGGCUAAAUACUCCUGACUGACCGAUAGUGAACCAGUACCGUGAGGGAAAGGCGAAAAGAACCCCGGCGAGGGGAGUGAAAAAGAACCUGAAACCGUGUACGUACAAGCAGUGGGAGCACCUUCGUGGUGUGACUGCGUACCUUUUGUAUAAUGGGUCAGCGACUUAUAUUCUGUAGCAAGGUUAACCGUAUAGGGGAGCCGAAGGGAAACCGAGUCUUAACUGGGCGUUAAGUUGCAGGGUAUAGACCCGAAACCCGGUGAUCUAGCCAUGGGCAGGUUGAAGGUUGGGUAACACUAACUGGAGGACCGAACCGACUAAUGUUGAAAAAUUAGCGGAUGACUUGUGGCUGGGGGUGAAAGGCCAAUCAAACCGGGAGAUAGCUGGUUCUCCCCGAAAGCUAUUUAGGUAGCGCCUCGUGAACUCAUCUUCGGGGGUAGAGCACUGUUUCGGCUAGGGGGCCAUCCCGGCUUACCAACCCGAUGCAAACUACGAAUACCGAAGAAUGUUAUCACGGGAGACACACGGCGGGUGCUAACGUCCGUCGUGAAGAGGGAAACAACCCAGACCGCCAGCUAAGGUCCCAAAGUCAUGGUUAAGUGGGAAACGAUGUGGGAAGGCACAGACAGCCAGGAUGUUGGCUUAGAAGCAGCCAUCAUUUAAAGAAAGCGUAAUAGCUCACUGGUCGAGUCGGCCUGCGCGGAAGAUGUAACGGGGCUAAACCAUGCACCGAAGCUGCGGCAGCGACGCUUAUGCGUUGUUGGGUAGGGGAGCGUUCUGUAAGCCGUUGAAGGUGUGCUGUGAGGCAUGCUGGAGGUAUCAGAAGUGCGAAUGCUGACAUAAGUAACGAUAAAGCGGGUGAAAAGCCCGCUCGCCGGAAGACCAAGGGUUCCUGUCCAACGUUAAUCGGGGCAGGGUGAGUCGACCCCUAAGGCGAGGCCGAAAGGCGUAGUCGAUGGGAAACAGGUUAAUAUUCCUGUACUUGGUGUUACUGCGAAGGGGGGACGGAGAAGGCUAUGUUAGCCGGGCGACGGUUGUCCCGGUUUAAGCAUGUAGGCGGAGGUUCCAGGUAAAUCCGGUACCUUUUAACGCUGAGGUGUGAUGACGAGGCACUACGGUGCUGAAGUAACAAAUGCCCUGCUUCCAGGAAAAGCCUCUAAGCAUCAGGUAACAUCAAAUCGUACCCCAAACCGACACAGGUGGUCAGGUAGAGAAUACCAAGGCGCUUGAGAGAACUCGGGUGAAGGAACUAGGCAAAAUGGUGCCGUAACUUCGGGAGAAGGCACGCUGAUAUGUAGGUGAAGCCCCUGCGGGUGGAGCUGAAAUCAGUCGAAGAUACCAGCUGGCUGCAACUGUUUAUUAAAAACACAGCACUGUGCAAACACGAAAGUGGACGUAUACGGUGUGACGCCUGCCCGGUGCCGGAAGGUUAAUUGAUGGGGUUAGCGGUAACGCGAAGCUCUUGAUCGAAGCCCCGGUAAACGGCGGCCGUAACUAUAACGGUCCUAAGGUAGCGAAAUUCCUUGUCGGGUAAGUUCCGACCUGCACGAAUGGCGUAAUGAUGGCCAGGCUGUCUCCACCCGAGACUCAGUGAAAUUGAACUCGCUGUGAAGAUGCAGUGUACCCGCGGCAAGACGGAAAGACCCCGUGAACCUUUACUAUAGCUUGACACUGAACACUGGUCCUUGAUGUGUAGGAUAGGUGGGAGGCUUUGAAGCGUGGACGCCAGUCUGCGUGGAGCCGUCCUUGAAAUACCACCCUUUAAUGGCUGGUGUUCUAACGUAGACCCGUGAUCCGGGUUGCGGACAGUGUCUGGUGGGUAGUUUGACUGGGGCGGUCUCCUCCCAAAGAGUAACGGAGGAGCACGAAGGUUAGCUAAUCCUGGUCGGACAUCAGGAGGUUAGUGCAAUGGCAUAAGCUAGCUUGACUGCGAGAGUGACGGCUCGAGCAGGUGCGAAAGCAGGUCAUAGUGAUCCGGUGGUUCUGAAUGGAAGGGCCAUCGCUCAACGGAUAAAAGGUACUCCGGGGAUAACAGGCUGAUACCGCCCAAGAGUUCAUAUCGACGGCGGUGUUUGGCACCUCGAUGUCGGCUCAUCACAUCCUGGGGCUGAAGUAGGUCCCAAGGGUAUGGCUGUUCGCCAUUUAAAGUGGUACGCGAGCUGGGUUUAGAACGUCGUGAGACAGUUCGGUCCCUAUCUGCCGUGGGCGCUGGAGAAUUGAGGGGGGCUGCUCCUAGUACGAGAGGACCGGAGUGGACGCAUCACUGGUGUUCGGGUUGUCAUGCCAAUGGCACUGCCCGGUAGCUAAAUGCGGAAAAGAUAAGUGCUGAAAGCAUCUAAGCACGAAACUUGCCCCGAGAUGAGUUCUCCCUGAGACUUUAAGUCUCCUGAAGGAACGUUAAAGACGAUGACGUUGAUAGGUCGGGUGUGUAAGCGCAGCGAUGCGUUGAGCUAACCGAUACUAAUGAACCGUGAGGCUUAACCUUACAACGCCGAAGCUGUU